rnacentral:lncRNA from 1 species
CACGGGAAACCCUCAAACAGGAAAAACCUUGAUUAAUUAAAAGCAAGUAAAGAAGCCCUAAUGUCUUCUAAGGCUCCAACUAUUUCAAGGGAAAGGAAGCACUCCAGUGCCAAUGCCAACUCCACCGGCAGAACCACCACCAACGCCGCCACCAGCACCACCGCCAACGCCGCCACCCACGCCACCAACUCCACCAAGCCCACUUGAACCACCGAGCCCACUAGCACCACCGAGGCCACCGACUCCACCAAUUCCUCCAAGCCCACCAGCACCACCGAGGCCAGUAAUCCCACCAAGACCUCCAACUCCACCAAACGGAAGCCCAUUAGAACCAAUGCCGGAGAAGCCACCAACACCACCGUAUGUUAGAAAGUUCUUUUGAUCAUCAAGGCCAGCAUCAGUGGGCGCACUUUUGGCAGUGUUAUGAACCACUUGAUCAUCAUGAUCACUAGGCGUAUUUCUUGCACUAGUGUGAACCGCUGCUACAGCAAGAACAAGCAUGACAUUGGCACACCACUUUGCCAUCUCUCUCAAAGAUUAUUAUUAUUUGAUUACUAUUAUGAAUUUUUCUUCUUAGUACAUGUGAACUAUUGUUGCGGGAGUCUCCUUAUAAAGGCUAAGAGGGCAUUGGGGAGGUAGUUGUGGGUAGUAAAUAGAAUUGAAUGCGGGCAACUUAGCUGGCACACUCGCUCAUAAGGUCUGCUGUUUGAAAUAUAUAUUUUCAAGGAUUUGUGCUUAGAGUAAAAUUGUUAUAGGAGUCAUCGUAAUGGUUUAAACGCCUGCUGUACGGCCAAGGCGGAUGUACGGUACAGCAGAAAUUUUGUUUUCAGAAGUACUGCAAGUUUUAAAAACAAUUAUGGACGUUUGAUAAAUUUUACUAUUAAACUGCUGAGAGUAAGUAAAUGAUUAAAAUAUAAAUAAUAUAGGAUAAAAUUUACUUAUACAUGUGAAAACACGUACACACAAUAUUUUUAAUUUUGUAUGAUGAUAAUUUUAACUAAAAAUAAAAUUUAUAAUAUAUAUUGAUUUUAUUUUUUAUCGUAAACAAUUGAUAAUUAAAUUUAUAAUAUAGUGAAACAAAUUUAAUAAUAAAUCGACCAACAAAUAUUGAUGAAUCAUAAUAAAAAUUUACUAAAAUAUUGGUUUUGUUUCCAAUUGAAUAAGAAUAAUUUUGGGUUUAGGUAAUAAUUUUAAAGAUAUUGAUGGAAUUGUAUUAAAGGAUAAAAUUGAUUUUUAAAAUCAGAAUCUAAAAGCUACUUCUUACUUACUUUUCAAAAUCAUCUGUAGUAGAGGCUGAUUUUGACAAAAGUGAUUUUGAUUUUUUUUUUUUACCAAACACUAAAAUUAACUUUUAGAUUUUUAAAAUUAGUUUUAAAUCUCCUAAAAGCAAUCCCAAAUAGAGCCUAACUCUAUUAUAAAUUCUUAAUUAAUAGCUCAUCUAAUAUUUGGUGUUAAAACAUGGACAAAAUAUCACAAAUUGGUAGGUAAAUUUGGACAUUUCAUUUCCACGACAUAUAGUCAAGUUUAAGGCUGUGGCCCGACAAAUUAAUGACCUUACUUUGCUUAGUGUAACGUAAUGCAUGAGCUUCGAUAACUUCAUAUGUAAACUUUAGUUGCUUUCGUUAAAGUUCUAUAACAUCAGUCAUCUCCAUUUAAAAGACAGAAGAAGAAGAAGAUAAAACACGCGAUUUAAUUAUUUACGUCGAAUAUCUCUGAAGUAGAGAAUUACAUUACAAUAACAUACCAAAAGCUCUCAAAACUAAAACUCAAAAGCAAACAGUAACUGAAACCAAAGUAAACGAACUAUCACACGAACAUGGCAUUAAAACUAAACUUUCUUAAUAACGCGCACGGGAAUAACGUGCACGGGAAACCCUCAAACAGGAAAAACCUUGAUUAAUUAAAAGCAAGUAAAGAAGCCCUAAUGUCUUCUAAGGCUCCAACUAUUUCAAGGGAAAGGAAGCACUCCAGUGCCAAUGCCAACUCCACCGGCAGAACCACCACCAACGCCGCCACCAGCACCACCUCCAACGCCGCCGCCACCGCCAACGCCGCCACCCACGCCACCAACUCCACCAAGCCCACUUGAACCACCGAGCCCACUAGCACCACCGAGGCCACCGACUCCACCAAUUCCUCCAAGCCCACCAGCACCACCGAGGCCAGUAAUCCCACCAAGACCUCCAACUCCACCAAACGGAAGCCCAUUAGAACCAAUGCCGGAGAAGCCACCAACACCACCGUAUGUUAGAAAGUUCUUUUGAUCAUCAAGGCCAGCAUCAGUGGGCGCACUUUUGGCAGUGUUAUGAACCACUUGAUCAUCAUGAUCACUAGGCGUAUUUCUUGCACUAGUGUGAACCGCUGCUACAGCAAGAACAAGCAUGACAUUGGCACACCACUUUGCCAUCUCUCUCAAAGAUUAUUAUUAUUUGAUUACUAUUAUGAAUUUUUCUUCUUAGUACAUGUGAACUAUUGUUGCGGGAGUCUCCUUAUAAAGGCUAAGAGGGCAUUGGGGAGGUAGUUGUGGGUAGUAAAUAGAAUUGAAUGCGGGCAACUUAGCUGGCACACUCGCUCAUAAGGUCUGCUGUUUGAAAUAUAUAUUUUCAAGGAUUUGUGCUUAGAGUAAAAUUGUUAUAGGAGUCAUCGUAAUGGUUUAAACGCUUGGGGUACCAGCUGAAAGAAAGUUACUGCGAUGGCCAGAGUGGCAAAUGCAGAAAUAAACAUGCAUGCCAGAUAUGGUGGUGACAAAUGAAAUGCUGAUUAGGGAUGUGGCGUUCGGGCAUGUGAUAUGCAGAGAAACAUUUGCCCAACCAAUCAAGUAAUUACAUUUGGUUGGAAGAAAAGGGCCGAUGUGAAGUGAUUGACUCAAUUCUGGGCAUUAUUAAUUUCCUGGACCAUUUCCAAUGACAUGAAAAAUUUUAAACUGUGUGUGACAAGGAACCUUACCUUUUGAGUUUUGAGAGGAAAUGCAAAUCCUAAUUAAGCUGUGAAAAAGUAAAAUUAAAUGUUCUUGCGUUGCGGAGAAUUAAGUAAAAAGUCAUCGAGCCUUUUCACUGAGCUGUAGUCCAUAACUCAUAAUACGUAGUAGCACGUGGUCAAUUCUAAACAUCAAUUUUUUUUUAUUAAAAAAAACUCUAAACAUUGAAUUAAUUUGCAAGAAAUAUUUCUUUUUUUUUUUUCAUCUUGGUAUUAGACUUCUAUAUCAAACAUUUUCUACUGUCAUUAUACUUUUUAUUCUACUAAUUAAUUUGCUUAUCUAAUCUAAAAGAAAAAAAAUUCUUAUCUCAACUAAAUUUGCGUGUUUUGGUUACUUUACUCACUCACUUUGUCAAUCUAGUUUUCUCUAACUAAAGACUUUUAGUUAACAUGUACUGACACAUUAAUUUAAUGGUAAAAUCUGUCCAAUCCUUUGGGACCAUCGUAAUUCAAGAGUUUGGAAAAAGUUAAACACUAUUUGCACACAAAAUUAUAAAUAAAAAUGAAUUAAUAAAUUUGUACAAUUUUAUAUGCAAGUAGCAUUACUCAUGGCAAAAUUUGAAGCAGUUAAUGGUUUUAUAUAGGGUAAGUUGAUUAUUAAAGAAUUAGAUUGUUUUGUUAAAUCUGAUUGGUGGUUAUUAAAUAUAAAGUUUCCAUUCAAUAUUUUAAUUUACUGUUGAGUUGCAUUAAAUAUUGGUUGGUCAAUGGAAGUCAGCUGCUAAAUUCAAUGUCGACCUACAUUCAAUCUCUACCUAACAAGUUUAAUUUGGGAUCGGAUACCUGCACAUUCUAAGUCCACCCCAAAUAUUACACUCCACCAUUCCCAACUCUUUACACCUAAAUUGAGAAAAUCGUUUGGAGAAAAUAUUGGUCAACACUAAUUGAAUCGUUGACUUAAACUAUAGGAAAUAAUAGAACAUUUACAACUGAGAAAAGUUUAGUAACACGACACAUAAAUUCUCCACCAGUUUUAUUUUUUCCUCUAUGUAUAGUAGUGUCUUUCAGCUAUAGGAUCAUUUUUCUAAUAUAUAAAUUAUCAUUAAAAUACAUGCUUAUUGAUAACGUAUUAUCAGUUUUGAUAUUCAGUUAUUGAUUCACCGAUCAUCCAAUUGAAGAAACGUGUUUUCAUUUCUUGAAUAAAACAUUAUACACUGAGAGUUAUUUAUAGAUGCAGAUGCUACAUUUUUUCAAAGAUUACAUAUGUAAAUACGGAAGGAAAUAGGUCUGUGUUGUGCGCGAGAGCUGGGCUGACGCUGGUGCUGCGUUGCGUUGCGCGCGCGGGACUGAUGUACUGCGCGAGGGUGAUUGCUGGAUUGAUUUGCGCUGUGCGCGCGAGCUGGAGCUGAGGAUCUGCGUUGCUAGGCGUUACUGCUGCUGCUUCGCGGGAUGUGUUGCGUGCACGGUUGCUGCUGAUUUCGCACAAUGGUGAUGGCUGGGGCUUGCUGCGUUGCACGCGGCUGCUUUCGCUGGUGGGACUUCGUUGCGCGCUGCUGGGCUGCGAGACACGGGAUGCUGGUGUUGCGCUCACGAGAUGGUGCGUUUUCCGGCGGGCUGGUUUGCUGCUGGUGUGCUGCAAGCGGCUGGAGAAGAAAACAAGUUCUGGAAAAUUAGGGAUUUUGUGAACAGUGAAUAGUGAACAGUGAUUUUCGAUUUUUGGUUUUUUUUUAAAUAAAUAAACAUAAUCAUUAAAGAACAUAUAUGGGAAUUAAAUAAAUAAAUAAAAUAAUUAUUUCAUUGAAUAGGGUUUCAUCUUUAACCUCAGUAUAAGAAAAUUAGCUGGACAUACUUAAAUUGGGAGCAACAAAAAAAAUAAAAUCAGCCAUGGGAAGCCGAAAUAUUGCUGCUGCAACUGGUCUCUUCCAACCUGACAUACUUGAAUUGGGAGCAACAAAAGAAAUAAAAUCAGCCAUGGGAAGCUUCCUUUUCCAAUUAUGAAACAAAGCUUCCAUAAUAACGCCAGCCAUUAAUUCCACUUUUGAAAGUCAAGUGUGGGCCCCAUUUAAAUUGCUUUCCCCUUUUGCAAUGCUAUGGACGUGCAACUCAAUUGGAGAAUUGAAAUUCUUUUUCAAUGCAAAUUGCUCUUAGCUCUUAACUCUAUCACAGCUUCAACUAAUAUUUCUCUAAAUUAUUAUUUUUUUUGCACUUUUUAUUUCCAAUCUCCAAUUAAUUUCCUAUUCAAUAAAACAAUUCAAUUAAUUAAAAAUAACAAAUAAAAUUAACUAGCAAAUAUACAAUAAAGGGUAAAAUAUGUAUAUAAAUUAUGCUCAUCACAUUGCUUAAUAUUUAUUAUUAUGGUUGGUUGAAUUAUAUACAUGGCAAUUAAUGAAUGAAAAUACAGGUGCUCCUGAAUCCCAAAACAUUUCCACGACAUAUAGUCAAGUUUAAGGCUGUGGCCCGACAAAUUAAUGACCUUACUUUGCUUAGUGUAACAUAAUGCAUGAGCUUCGAUAACUUCAUAUGUAAACUUUAGUUGCUUUAGCUAAGGUUCUAUAACAUCAGUCAUCUCCAUUUAAAAGACAGAAGAAGAAGAUAAAACACGCGAUUAAAUUAUUUACGUCGAAUAUCUCUGAAGUAGAGAAUUACAUUACGAUAACAUACCAGAAGCUCUCAAAGCUAAAAAUCAAAAGCAAACAGUAACUGAAGCCGAAGUAAACGAACUAUCACACGAACAUGACAUUAAACUAAACUUUCUUAAUAACGUGCACGGGAAACCCUCAAACAGGAAAAACCUUGAUUAAUUAAAAGCAAGUAAAGAAGCCCUAAUGUCUUCUAAGGCUCCAACUAUUUCAAUGGAAAGGAAGCACUCCGGUGCCAGUGCCAACUCCACCGGCAGAACCACCACCAACGCCGCCACCAGCACCACCGCCAACGCCGCCACCCACGCCACCAACUCCACCAAGCCCACUUGAACCACCGAGACCACCGACUCCACCAAUUCCUCCAAGCCCACCAGCACCACCGAGGCCAGUAACGCCAGCAAGACCUCCAACUCCACCAAGCGGAAGCCCAUUAGAACCAAUGCCGGAGAAGCCACUGACACCACCGUAUGUUAGAAAGUUCUUUUGAUCAUCAAGGCCAGCACCAGAGGGUGCAUUUUUGGCAGCGUUAUGAACCACUUGAUCAUCAUGAUCACUAGGCGUGUUUCUUGCACUAGUGUGAACCGCUACUACAGCAAGAACAAGCAUGACAGUGACACACCACUUUGCCAUCUCUCUAUAAGAUUAUUAUUAUUAUUAUUUGAUUACUAUUAUGAAUUGUUCUUCUUAGUACAUGUGAACUAUUGUUGCGGGAGUCUCCUUAUAAAGGCAAAGAGGGCAUUGAAUGAGGGCAGCUUAGGUGGCACACUCACUCAUAAGGUCUGCUGUUUGAAAUAUAUAUUUUCAAGGAUUCGAAUAUUAAUCUUAACAAUCAAUAAUGCAUGACAGAAUUGAUGAAAAGAUUUUAUUAACAUCCAAUUAAUCAUGUGAAAUAAAAACCAUAAUCAUUAAAGAACAUAUAUGGGAAUUAAAUAAAUAAAUAAAAUAAUUAUUUCAUUGAAUAGGGUUUCAUCUUUAACCUCAGUAUAAGAAAAUUAGCUGGACAUACUUGAAUUGGGAGCAACAAAAGAAAUAAAAUCAGCCAUGGGAAGCUGAAAUAUUGCUGCUGCAACUGCUCUCUUCCAACCUUUUUCUCCUCCUCUGGCGGCCACCCUCAUUCAAAAGCCAAAACUCUCUUUUAUAAUGCUUAGCCACCGAAUCCUCUUUGUCUACUAAUUAAAAUCCUUUUCCAAUUAUGAAACAAAGCUUCCAUAAUAACGCCAGCCAUUAAUUCCACUUUUGAAAGUCAAGUGUGGGCCCCAUUUAAAUUGCUUUCCCCUUUUGCAAUGCUAUGGACGUGCAACUCAAUUGGAGAAUUGAAAUUCUUUUUCAAUGCAAAUUGCUCUUAGCUCUUAACUCUAUCACAGCUUCAACUAAUAUUUCUCUAAAUUAUUAUUUUUUUUGCACUUUUUAUUUCCAAUCUCCAAUUAAUUUCCUAUUCAAUAAAACAAUUCAAUUAAUUAAAAAUAACAAAUAAAAUUAACUAGCAAAUAUACAAUAAAGGGUAAAAUAUGUAUAUAAAUUAUGCUCAUCACAUUGCUUAAUAUUUAUUAUUAUGGUUGGUUGAAUUAUAUACAUGGCAAUUAAUGAAUGAAAAUACAGGUGCUCCUGAAUCCCAAAACAUUUCCACGACAUAUAGUCAAGUUUAAGGCUGUGGCCCGACAAAUUAAUGACCUUACUUUGCUUAGUGUAACAUAAUGCAUGAGCUUCGAUAACUUCAUAUGUAAACUUUAGUUGCUUUAGCUAAGGUUCUAUAACAUCAGUCAUCUCCAUUUAAAAGACAGAAGAAGAAGAUAAAACACGCGAUUAAAUUAUUUACGUCGAAUAUCUCUGAAGUAGAGAAUUACAUUACGAUAACAUACCAGAAGCUCUCAAAGCUAAAAAUCAAAAGCAAACAGUAACUGAAGCCGAAGUAAACGAACUAUCACACGAACAUGACAUUAAACUAAACUUUCUUAAUAACGUGCACGGGAAACCCUCAAACAGGAAAAACCUUGAUUAAUUAAAAGCAAGUAAAGAAGCCCUAAUGUCUUCUAAGGCUCCAACUAUUUCAAUGGAAAGGAAGCACUCCGGUGCCAGUGCCAACUCCACCGGCAGAACCACCACCAACGCCGCCACCAGCACCACCGCCAACGCCGCCACCCACGCCACCAACUCCACCAAGCCCACUUGAACCACCGAGACCACCGACUCCACCAAUUCCUCCAAGCCCACCAGCACCACCGAGGCCAGUAACGCCAGCAAGACCUCCAACUCCACCAAGCGGAAGCCCAUUAGAACCAAUGCCGGAGAAGCCACUGACACCACCGUAUGUUAGAAAGUUCUUUUGAUCAUCAAGGCCAGCACCAGAGGGUGCAUUUUUGGCAGCGUUAUGAACCACUUGAUCAUCAUGAUCACUAGGCGUGUUUCUUGCACUAGUGUGAACCGCUACUACAGCAAGAACAAGCAUGACAGUGACACACCACUUUGCCAUCUCUCUAUA